rnacentral:rRNA from 1 species
CUCCACGGCCCCAGCACCCCGAAUGCGCUCCAUCUUGUCCGAUCCUGGAAAGCUCAGCGGGGUUGUGCCUGGUUAGUGAAUGAGAGACACAACCUUUGACACAGGGAUGU